GGCAUCAGCUGGACCAUGGAGAACUGACGCACAUACGAAGAUUACCUGAACACUGCAGAAUGGCUUCUGUCCCAUACCAAAUACCGACCUAAAGUGGCAGUGAUCUGUGGUUCUGGAUUAAGAGGUCUGGCUCAUAAAUUAACUCAGCCCCAAUUCUUUGACUACAGCGAGAUACUCAAUUUUCCCCUAAGUACAGUGUGAGGUCUUGCCAGUUGGCUGGUGUUUGGGAUCCUGAAUAGCAAAGUCUGUGUGAUGAUGCAGGGCAGGUUCCAUGCAUAUGAAGGGUACCCACUCUGGAAGGUGACAUUCCCAAUAAGGGUUUUCCAGCUUAUAGGUGUGGACACCCUGGUGGUUACCAAUGCCGCUAGAGGGCUCAACCCCAAGUUUGAGGUUGGAGAUAUUAUGCUGAUCUGUGAUCACGUCAACCUACCUGGUUUCUGUGGUCAGAACCCACUCAUAGGACCAAAGGAUGAAAGGUUUGGGGUUCGUUUCCCUGCCAUGUCUGAUGCCUAUGACCGGACCAUGAGGGAGAAAGCUCUCAUUACCUGGAAACAAAUGGGAGAGGAGCGAGCACUGCAGGAAGGCACCUAUGUGAUGUUGACAGGCCCCAACUUUGAAACUAUAGCAGAGUGUCAUCUGCUGCAAAAGCUGGGGGCGGAUGCUGUUGGCAUGAGCACAGUACCGAAAGUGAUAGUUGCUCGGCACUGCGGACUUCGAGUCUUCGGCUUUUCACUCAUCACUAACAAGGUUGUUAUGGAUUAUGAAAGUCUGGAGAAGGCCUAUCAUGAGGAAGUAUUAGAGGCUGGGAAACAGGCCGCACAGAAAUUGGAAAAGUUUGUCACCACACUUGUUGGCAGUAUUCCACUCCAUUGCAGUACCUGUUGACCAGCCCUGCAUCGUCUGGUAUCUCCCAUAUAUGAGAUCCAAGUAGCUGCUACCUGCUUUGUACCCCUACUGGGGUCACGAGCCUCUGCCCUCAAGUAGUAGCAGAAAGGAACUAGUGAUUCCUAUCCCUCACCUCCCUUACUUUCUCCCACCAGACCCUUCUG